rnacentral:rRNA from 1 species
CCUACGGGGGGCAGCAGUGGGGAAUAUUGGACAAUGGGGGGAACCCUGAUCCAGCCAUGCCGCGUGUGUGAAGAAGGCCCUCGGGUUGUAAAGCACUUUCAGUGAGGAAGAACGCCUGGUGGUUAAUACCCAUCAGGAAAGACAUCACUCACAGAAGAAGCACCGGCUAACUCCGUGCCAGCAGCCGCGGUAAUACGGAGGGUGCGAGCGUUAAUCGGAAUUACUGGGCGUAAAGCGCGCGUAGGUGGCUUGAUAAGCCGGUUGUGAAAGCCCCGGGCUCAACCGGGGAACGGCAUCCGGAACUGUCAAGCUAGAGUGCAGGAGAGGAAGGUAGAAUUCCCGGUGUAGCGGUGAAAUGCGUAGAGAUCGGGAGGAAUACCAGUGGCGAAGGCGGCCUUCUGGACUGACACUGACACUGAGGUGCGAAAGCGUGGGUAGCAAACAGGAUUAGAUACCCUUGUAGUC